rnacentral:rRNA from 1 species
GACGGAGGAUGCAAGCGUUAUCCGGAAUGAUUAGGCGUAAAGCGUUCGCAGGUGGCUGUUCAAGUCUGCUGUCAAAGACCGGGGCUUAACCCUAGAAAGGCAGUGGAAACUGGACGGCUGGAGUGCAGUAUGGGUAGAGGGAAUUCCCAGUGUAGCGGUGAAAUGCGUAGAGAUUGGGGAGAACACCGGUGGCGAAAGCGCUCUGCUGGACUGCAACUGACACUGAGGGACGAAAGCUAGGGGAGCGAAAGGG